UACGUAGGUGGCAAGCGUUGUCCGGAAUUAUUGGGCGUAAAGCGCACGUAGGCGGAUCUUUAAGUCAGGGGUGAAAUCCCGAGGCUCAACCUCGGAACUGCCUUUGAUACUGGGGAUCUCGAGUCCGGGAGAGGUGAGUGGAACUGCGAGUGUAGAGGUGAAAUUCGUAGAUAUUCGCAAGAACACCAGUGGCGAAGGCGGCUCACUGGCCCGAUACUGACGCUGAGGCGCGAAAGCGUGGGGAGCAAACAGG
rnacentral:rRNA from 1 species